rnacentral:rRNA from 1 species
AGCAGUCGCCGCGGGAAUACGAAGGGUGCAAGCGUUACUCGGAAUUACUGGGCGUAAAGCGUGCGUAGGUGGUGGUUUAAGUCUGCUGUGAAAGCCCUGGGCUCAACCUGGGAAUUGCAGUGGAUACUGGAUCACUAGAGUGUGGUAGAGGGAUGCGGAAUUUCUGGUGUAGCAGUGAAAUGCGUAGAGAUCAGAAGGAACAUCCGUGGCGAAGGCAGCCCCCUGGGCCAAUACUGACGCUCAUGCACGAAAGCGUGGGGAGCAAACAGGAUUAGAUACCCCAGUAGUCCCUGUCUCUUAUAC